UGGGGAAUAUUGCACAAUGGGCGCAAGCCUGAUGCAGCCAUGCCGCGUGUAUGAAGAAGGCCUUCGGGUUGUAAAGUACUUUCAGCGGGGAGGAAGGCGUUGUGGUUAAUAACCACAGCGAUUGACGUUACCCGCAGAAGAAGCACCGGCUAACUCCGUGCCAGCAGCCGCGGUAAUACGGAGGGUGCAAGCGUUAAUCGGAAUUACUGGGCGUAAAGCGCACGCAGGCGGUCUGUUAAGUCAGAUGUUAAAUCCCCGGGCUCAACCUGGGAACUGCAUUUGAAACUGGCAGGCUUGAGUCUCGUAGAGGGGGGUAGAAUUCCAGGUGUAGCGGUGAAAUGCGUAGAGAUCUGGAGGAAUACCGGUGGCGAAGGCGGCCCCCUGGACGAAGACUGACGCUCAGGUGCGAAAGCGUGGGGAGCAAACA
rnacentral:rRNA from 1 species